AUUCACCCUCUCUCUAUACUUCUCCUUCAUUCUUUCAUUCUCCCUCAUACACCUUCUUUCUAACAACAACCACCAAACACCCAUACAAAUGCCGCGACAGGUUAUCUCUAGUUGAAGAUCAACCGCAGAAUUUAAAUCUUCAAGCAAUACAAACCCAGAUAAAACCUGAAUCGUGCAAUACCAAAACCAUAACCCCCAACUUUUCACAGAAAUCAAAUAAAUCAACAACAUCACGGCAAUCAAAGGCUAAGUGCUCGGAUCACCUCACUUGA